rnacentral:rRNA from 1 species
UACGUAGGUGGCAAGCGUUGUCCGGAUUUACUGGGCGUAAAGAGCGCGCAGGCGGUCGUUCAAGUCGAGUGUGAAAGCCCCCGGCUCAACUGGGGAGGGUCAUUCGAUACUGAUCGACUCGAAGGCAGGAGAGGGAAGUGGAAUUCCCGGUGUAGUGGUGAAAUGCGUAGAUAUCAGGAGGAACACCGAUGGCGAAGGCAGUGUUCUGGGCCAGUACUGACGCUGAGGAGCGAAAGCGUGGGGAGCAAACAGG